rnacentral:rRNA from 1 species
CAUCCUGGGGCUGAAGUAGGUCCCAAGGGUAUGGCUGUUCGCCAUUUAAAGUGGUACGCGAGCUGGGUUUAGAACGUCGUGAGACAGUUCGGUCCCUAUCUGCCGUGGGCGCUGGAGAACUGAGGGGGGCUGCUCCUAGUACGAGAGGACCGGAGUGGACGCAUCACUGGUGUUCGGGUUGUCAUGCCAAUGGCACUGCCCGGUAGCUAAAUGCGGAAGAGAUAAGUGCUGAAAGCAUCUAAGCACGAAACUUGCCCCGAGAUGAGUUCUCCCUGAGACUUAGAGUCUCCUGAAGGAACGUUGAAGACGACGACGUUGAUAGGCCGGGUGUGUAAGCGCAGCGAUGCGUUGAGCUAACCGGUACUAAUGAACCGUGAGGCUUAACCUUACAACGCCGAAG